UGGUUAAAAAGCUCGUAGUUGGAUCUCAACAGCCUUGNAAGCAGUUAACUUUGUAGUUUUACUGCUUUAUAGGCUGUGCUUUUGCUGGAGGUUUAGGGGUGCUCUUGAUCGAGUGUCUCUGGAUGCCAGCAGGUUUACUUUGAAAAAAUUAGAGUGCUCAAAGCAGGCUAAAAUGCCUGAAUAUUCGUGCAUGGAAUAAUAGAAUAGGAUGUCGAUCCUAUUUUGUUGGUUUUCGGGACUCGACAUAAUGAUAAAUAGGGACAGUCGGGGGCAUUUGUAUUCAAACGACAGAGGUGAAAUUCUUGGACCGUUUGAAGACAAACUACUGCGAAAGCAUUUGCCAAGAAUGUUUUCAUUAAUCAAGAACGAAAGUUAGAGGUUCGAAGGCGAUUAGAUACCGCCCUAGUUCUAACCAUAAACGAUGCCAGCUAGCGAUCUGCCUGCGUUUUUACUGUAGACUGGGCAGGAAGCUUCCGGGAAACCAAAGCAUUUGGGUUCCAGGGGAAGUAUGGUUGCAAAGCUGAAACUUAAAGGAAUUGACGGAAGGGCACCACCAGGAGUGGAGCCUGUGGCUUA
rnacentral:rRNA from 1 species